UACGUAGGGUGCGAGCGUUAAUCGGAAUUACUGGGCGUACAGCGUGCGCAGGCGGCUCUGAAAGUCAGCUGUGAAAGCCCCGGGCUUAACCUGGGAAUUGCGGUUGAAACUACAGGGCUAGAAUCUGGCAGAGGGGGGUGGAAUUCCACGUGUAGCAGUGAAAUGCGUAGAGAUGUGGAGGAACACCGAUGGCGAAGGCAGCCCCCUGGGCUGAGAUUGACGCUCAGGCACGAAAGCGUGGGGAGCAAACAGG
rnacentral:rRNA from 1 species